rnacentral:rRNA from 1 species
UACGGGGGGGGCAAGCGUUGUUCGGAAUUACUGGGCGUAAAGGGCUCGUAGGCGGCCAACUAAGUCAGACGUGAAAUCCCUCGGCUCAACCGGGGAACUGCGUCUGAUACUGGAUGGCUUGAAUCCGGAAGAGGGAUGCGGAAUUCCAGGUGUAGCGGUGAAAUGCGCAGAUAUCGGGAAGAACACCCGUGGCGAAGGCGGUUCUCUGGGACGGUACUGACGCUGAGACGCGAAAGCGUGGGGAGCGAACAGG